rnacentral:rRNA from 25 species
GCGACCCCAGGUCAGGCGGGACUACCCGCUGAGUUUAAGCAUAUC